AGAGUUUGAUCAUGGCUCAGGAUGAACGCUGGCGGCGUGCCUAACGCAUGCAAGUCGAGCGAGGACCGCCCGGUGGCAACACCGGGUUGGUGCCUAGCGGCGAACGGGUGAGUAACACGUGGGUAACCUGCCCCCGACACCGGGAUAAGCCUGGGAAACUGGGUCUAAUACCGGAUAUGAGCCUCCUCCGCAUGGUGGGGGCUGGAAAGGGUCUCCGGUCGGGGAUGGGCCCGCGUCCUAUCAGCUUGUUGGUGGGGUAACGGCCUACCAAGGCGACGACGGGUAGCCGGCCUGAGAGGGUGUACGGCCACACUGGGACUGAGACACGGCCCAGACUCCUACGGGAGGCAGCAGUAGGGAAUCUUGCGCAAUGGGCGAAAGCCUGACGCAGCAACGCCGCGUGGGGGAUGAAGGCUCUCGGGUUGUAAACCCCUUUCAGCAGGGACGAACACUGACGGUACCUGCAGAAGAAGCCCCGGCCAACUACGUGCCAGCAGCGGCGGUAAUAC
rnacentral:rRNA from 1 species